rnacentral:rRNA from 1 species
UCCAGACUCCUACGGGAGGCAGCAGUGGGGGAUAUUGCACAAUGGGGGGAACCCUGAUGCAGCGACGCCGCGUGGGUGAAGGAGCGUUUCGGCGCGUAAAGCCCUAUCGGCAGGGAAGAAGGAGGACGGUACCUGACUAAGAAGCCCCGGCUAACUACGUGCCAGCAGCCGCGGUAAUACGUAGGGGGCAAGCGUUAUCCGGAUUUACUGGGUGUAAAGGGGGCGCAGACGGCAGCGCAAGCCAGGAGUGAAAGCCCGGGGCCCAACCCCGGGACUGCUCUUGGAACUGCGCGGCUGGAGUGCAGGAGGGGCAGGCGGAAUUCCUGGUGUAGCGGUGAAAUGCGUAGAUAUCAGGAGGAACACCGGUGGCGAAGGCGGCCUGCUGGGCUUUUACUGACGCUGAGGCUCGAAAGUGUGGGGAGCAAACAGGAUUAGAUACCCGGGUA